GACGUAGGAGGCGAGCGUUGUCCGGAUUCAUUGGGCGUAAAGCGUGCGCAGGCGGUUUUGCAAGCCAGAUGUGAAAGCCCCGGGCUUAACCUGGGAAUGGCAUUUGGGACUGCAAGGCUUGAGUGCGGCAGAGGAGACUGGAAUUCCCGGUGUAGCAGUGAAAUGCGUAGAUAUCGGGAGGAAUACCGAUGGCGAAGGCAGGUCUCUGGGCUGACACUGACGCUCAUGCACGAAAGCGUGGGGAGCAAACAGG
rnacentral:rRNA from 1 species